rnacentral:rRNA from 1 species
AGAAUCAACGCUGGCGGCGUGCCUAACACAUGCAAGUCGAACGAGAAAGUGGAGCAAUCCAUGAGUAAAGUGGCGCACGGGUGAGUAACACGUGACUAACCUACCCUCGAGUGGGGAAUAACUUCGGGAAACCGAGGCUAAUACCGCAUAAUACCUUCGGGUCAAAGGAGCAAUUCGCUUAAGGAGGGGGUCGCGGCCGAUUAGUUAGUUGGCGGGGUAAUGGCCCACCAAGACGAUGAUCGGUAUCCGGCCUGAGAGGGCGCACGGACACACUGGAACUGAAACACGGUCCAGACUCCUACGGGAGGCAGCAGUGGGGAAUUUUGCGCAAUGGGGGAAACCCUGACGCAGCAACGCCGCGUGGAGGAUGAAGCCCCUUGGGGCGUAAACUCCUUUCGAUCGGGACGAUUAUGACGGUACCGGAAGAAGAAGCCCCGGCUAACUUCGUGCCAGCAGCCGC